rnacentral:rRNA from 1 species
CGGACGGGUGAGUAAUGCUUGGGAAUCUGGCUCAUGGAGGGGGAUAACUACGGGAAACUGUAGCUAUACCGCGUAGUAUCGGAAGAUGAAAGUGUGGGACCGCAAGGCCACAUGCCAUGAGAUGAGCCCAAGUGGGAUUAGGUAGUUGGUUAGGUAAAGGCUGACCAAGCCGACGAUCUCUAGCUGGUCUGAGAGGAUGACCAGCCACACUGGAACUGAGACACGGUCCAGACUCCUACGGGAGGCAGCAGUGGGGAAUAUUGCACAAUGGGGGAAACCCUGAUGCAGCCAUGCCGCGUGAAUGAAGAAGGCCUUCGGGUUGUAAAGUUCUUUCGGUGAUGAGGAAGGUGUUUGUUUUAAUAGGACAAGCAAUUGACGUUAGUCACAGAAGAAGCACCGGCUAACUCCGUGCCAGCAGCCGCGGUAAUACGGAGGGUGCGAGCGUUAAUCGGAAUAACUGGGCGUAAAGGGCACGCAGGCGGUGACUUAAGUGAGAUGUGAAAGCCCCGAGCUUAACUUGGGAAUUGCAUUUCAUACUGGGUCGCUAGAGUACUUUAGGGAGGGGUAGAAUUCCACGUGUAGCGGUGAAAUGCGUAGAGAUGUGGAGGAAUACCGAAGGCGAAGGCAGCCCCUUGGGAAUGUACUGACGCUCAUGUGCGAAAGCGUGGGGAGCAAACAGGAUUAGAUACCCUGGUAGUCCCACGCUGUAACGCUGU